CAAAGAUUAAGCCAUGCAUGUCUAAGUUCACACCCUCGUACGGUGAAACCGCGAAUGGCUCAUUAAAUCAGUCGAGGUUCCUUAGAUGAUCCAAAUUUACUUGGAUAACUGUGGUAAUUCUAGAGCUAAUACAUGCCGAACAGCUCCGACCCCUCGGGGAAAGAGCGCUUUUAUUAGUUCAAAACCAGUCGGGUUCUGCCCGUCCUUUGGUGACUCUGGAUAACUUUGUGCCGAUCGCAUGGCCUCGAGCCGGCGACGCAUCUUUCAAAUGUCUGCCCUAUCAAAUGACGAUGGUACGUGAUCUGCCUACCAUGUUAGCAACGGGUAGCGGGGAAUCAGGGUUCGAUUCCGGAGAGGGAGCAUGAGAAACGGCUACCACAUCC
rnacentral:rRNA from 1 species